rnacentral:rRNA from 1 species
UGCCCAAGAGAUCGGGAUAACACCUGGAAACAGAUGCUAAUACCGGAUAACAACAGAUGAUGCCUAUCAACUGUUUAAAAGAUGGUUCUGCUAUCACUCUUGGAUGGACCUGCGGUGCAUUAGCUAGUUGGUAGGGUAACGGCCUACCAAGGCGAUGAUGCAUAGCCGAGUUGAGAGACUGGUCGGCCACAUUGGGACUGAGACACGGCCCAAACUCCUACGGGAGGCAGCAGCC